rnacentral:rRNA from 1 species
CGUAGUAAAGCGGCGAACGGGUGAGUAAACGUAACCAACCUACCCUUGAGAUCGGAAUAGCCACUGGAAACGGUGGGUAAUGCCGAAUGGUUCCAUACUGGGGCAUCCCGGAUUGGAUAAACGGCGGCUUCGGCUGUUGUUCGAGGAGGGGGUUGCGGCCUAUCAGCUUGUUGGUGAGGUAAUGGCUUACCAAGGCUAUGACGGGUAGCCGGUCUGAGAGGACGACCGGUCACACUGGGACUGAGACACUGCCCAGACUCCUACGGGAGGCUGCAGUCGAGAAUCUUCCGCAAUGGGCGAAAGCCUGACGGAGCGACACCGCGUGUAGGAUGAAGGCCCUCGGGUUGUAAACUACUGUCACGCCGUAUGAAUGCCCUGUCGUUAAUAGCUUCAGGGUUGACGUCAAGGCGAGAGGAAGCACCGGCUAACUCCGUGCCAGCAGCCGCGGUAAUACGGAGGGUGCAAACGUUGUUCGGAAUCACUGGGCAUAAAGCGCACGUAGGCGGUUUCGUUAGUUUGAUGUGAAAGCCCUCGGCUCAACCGAGGAACUGCAUUGGAUACUGCGAGACUUGAGGAUGGUUGGGGUGAGUGGAACUCCUGGUGGAGCGGUGAAAUGCGUAGAUAUCAGGAGGAACACCAGUGGCGAAAGCGGCUCACUGGACCAUUUCUGACGCUGAGGUGCGAAAGCUAGGGGAGCGAACGGGAUUAGAUACCCCGGUAGUCCUAGCCGUAAACGAUGGGAACUAGGUUGAGGGGGACACCUAUGGUCUUCUCAGCCGCAGCAAAUGUGAUAAGUUCCCCGCCUGGGGAAGUACGCUCGCAAGGGUAAAACUCAAAGGAAUUUGACGGGG